rnacentral:tRNA from 1 species
AGCAGAGUGGCUUAGUGGAAAGAGCACGGGCUUGGGAGUCAGAGGUCAUGGGUUCUAAUCCUGCCUCUGCCA